CACAAUGGGUUUCCUGAUUCCCAUCCCAACCAUCCUUGCUGUCAUUUUCUUUUCAUUUUCCCUCUUGUUUCCAAGAACCACAAGCAAGUAUCUACGAUGAAUUUCAUUUUCAAGCUUUUGUCUCUGCAUCUCCACUGUUGAACUUCUGCUGCAGAAUUCUCAUGCUUUGUUUGGUAAUAUAAAUAUACAUGAGGUUAAUGCAGGAGCUACAAUAGAUAAAUAAAGUAUAUCCACACCAAAUCCAAAACGCAUUUCAUUCCAAUCACAUGAACUUUUAUUACAUUAGAAAUCUGAAAAGGAAAAGGGUAGUAGAAACUUAUUCUAUAUCCUAUGCACGCUCAAAAACAACAAAAAGGAAUCCAAUCAGCUGGU
rnacentral:misc_RNA from 1 species